GGACGUGUGGCCGAGAGGUCUAAGGCGCUAGCUUCAGGAAAUUUGAGUAUGCUAGUCUCUUCGGAGGCGUGAGUUCGAACCUCACCGCGUUCA
rnacentral:tRNA from 4 species